UUAAACNNCCGCGGUAUCCUAACCGUGCAAAGGUAGCGUAANCACUUGUCCUCUAAAUAGGGACCUGUAUGAACGGCUAAAUGAGGACCAAUCUGUCUCCUUUGAUAAAUCAGUGAAACUGAUCUACCAGUACAAAAGCUGGUAUACCCCCAUAAGACGAGAAGACCCUGUGGAGCUUUAAACCUUAUACCAAAACAACCAAGACAACUAGACACUAGUGGUAAAAAGUUUUAAGUUGGGGCGACUUCGGAAUAAAAAAAAACUUCCGAGCAUAAAGAACAUUAAUCUUACCGAGACCUACAAGUCAAAGCAAAAUUUGACCCAGUAAAACUGAUCACCGAACCAAGUUACCCCAGGGAUAACAGCGCAAUCUUCUUCAAGAGUCCAUAUCGACAAGAAGGUUUACGACCUCGAUGUUGGAUCAGGACACCCAAAUGGUGCAGCCGCUAUUAAAGGUUC
rnacentral:rRNA from 1 species